rnacentral:lncRNA from 1 species
AAGCAGUCUUCGAUACUCAAAAAGAAGCAAUGAGAGCCUACAACCAAUAUGCUUAUCACAAAGGAUUUGAUAUUCAAAAAGGAUCAUUUUAUCAAUCCUCUAAGAAUAAAAAAAAUCACUAGGCAGAAAUUCACAUAUUAUAAAGAAGGGAUCUAAAAGCCUAAGAUCAAUAUAUCAAUUGAUGGGCAAGAUCGUGCAGCACCUACAACAUUGCACAAGAAA